AUUGAACGCUGGCGGCAUGCCUUACACAUGCAAGUCGAACGGCAGCACGGGAGCAAUCCUGGUGGCGAGUGGCGAACGGGUGAGUAAUAUAUCGGAACGUGCCCAGUCGUGGGGGAUAACGUAGCGAAAGCUACGCUAAUACCGCAUACGAUCUACGGAUGAAAGCGGGGGAUCGCAAGACCUCGCGCGAUUGGAGCGGCCGAUAUCAGAUUAGGUAGUUGGUGAGGUAAAGGCUCACCAAGCCGACGAUCUGUAGCUGGUCUGAGAGGACGACCAGCCACACUGGGACUGAGACACGGCCCAGACUCCUACGGGAGGCAGCAGUGGGGAAUUUUGGACAAUGGGCGCAAGCCUGAUCCAGCAAUGCCGCGUGCAGGAUGAAGGCCU
rnacentral:rRNA from 1 species